UCCACUCAUUUCACCCAUCCUCCCCGCCCACCCCACCCCCACCCUGCUGACCCCACCCAUUCCGGCUCCUCUCUCCAGCCUGGCCCAGCUAAAGUGCUUCGACCCACCACGGCUCCUGCAUAAUUCAGGAGGCUAAUGGAGGCUGCAGAUCCCACUCGGAGCAUCGCGCUGAGGGGCUGCUCUGGCCGCAGACGGACAGACAGGAGCCAGGACUGAGGUGGGGGCACCUGAAAAGGACCCUCACGGAAGGUAGAGGAAAUCUGGGCUUAGGACCAGUCUAGGCAGUUUCAGGUGGUGGAGCCCUAGGUCACACAGGUGGAAAAUCACACUUGAACCUGGCUCUUGGAGUCCAGGGCCUGGUAUCUGAACUCUCCAGCUGCAGGGCUCUGUUGUAUGAAAGCUGCUGGGGACCAAACAGGAAUGCACCUCAAGAGUUUUCCAGAGGCUCCAUGAUGUGUGAUAUCGCAAUUGGUGGAAGGCAGAGGCAGCUACAAGGAUCCAGCUGUCUUCUAUUAAGCCCCAAAUUAAAGAGAUUUGUAAAAGCAUAAAACAA